rnacentral:rRNA from 1 species
CAGCCGCCGCGGUAAAACCAGCACCUCGAGUGGUCAGGAGGUUUAUUGGGCCUAAAGCAUCCGUAGCCGGUUGCAUAAGUUUUCGGUUAAAUCUAUGUGCUUAACGUAUAGGCCGCCGAAAAUACUGUGCAGCUAGGGAGUGGGAGAGGUACACGGUACUCGAUAGGAAGGGGUAAAAUCCUUUGAUCUAUUGAUGACCACCUGUGGCGAAGGCGGUGUACCAGAACACGUUCGACGGUGAGGGAUGAAAGCUGGGGGAGCAAACCGGAUUAGAUACCCGGGUAGUCCCUGUCUCUUAUAC